UACGUAGGUGGCAAGCGUUGUCCGGAAUUAUUGGGCGUAAAGCGCGCGCAGACGGUCCUUUAAGUCUGAUGUGAAAGCCCACGGCUCAACCGUGGAGGGUCAUUGGAAACUGGAGGACUUGAGUACAGAAGAGGAAAGUGGAAUUCCACGUGUAGGCGGUGAAUGCGUAGAGAUGUGGAGGAACACCAGUGGCGAAGGCGACUUUCUGGCUGUAACUGACGUUGAGGCGCGAAAGCCGUGGGGAGCAA
rnacentral:rRNA from 1 species